GUGAACACACCCCAAAGCAACACCAUCAAGCAGGAGGUUGGGCACCAAGGGGACCAAGCCUACAGAAGAGAGGCAUCAAUGCAGGAUAUGCAAGUCCCCAGAGGGGUGGCAAAGUCCCUUCAUAUUCUAGACACUGGGACACAGUGAGAAGGAAAUCCAACCCAAAGGAGGAUGGUGGGUGGUGUGACAUGAGGAGUGCAGAGCAGAUCACUUCUAAGAAAUGCAUCUACAGUGCCGCAAAGGAAAGCUCCAGAGUGCCAGGGAUCUGAGAAAGCAGAAGGGAGAUGCAGCUGCAGUCUGUUCUUAGGCACCACAUGUCCAGCCUGACCUGGGCCUUCGGGGAGCUGUCCCCAUCCUGGCCAUAGACCAUGUGUUCAGGGCUUCACUUUCUAAGCCACUACUCAACACAUUCCACACCUCACUCCAUCUUCUUUUCUCUCCAUUUUUAUUGUUCCUGCUUCCUUGGUUGCACUCCGGUCCACUGCUGUGUCUCAAAGUAACUCAUCACUCUUCUUUACUGGAGACAAAUCAACACUAAGGGGUGGUAAUGAAAGAGUUAACACCAUAGCGAAUUUCUCCCCCUUUGUAGUCAGAGGAAUUGAAAGAGCACUGAAUAAAAAGAGAAUUGUUCAGGUAAACAGUGGCAAACCAAGGAGGGGGAUGGUGGGAGUGGUCCACCCAGGUGAGGAGGAGUAUUUUAUUCCUGACAUUGCUUAGAAUUGUCCAUGCGUGGUGAUCCUAAAAAGCAGACUGACUUUUCCUUGGUUUCAUUAUUGUUUUAAAAUUCUCCAUCAACAAUGCUCUUCCUUAUUCCUAGCGCCCAGGGCAGACCACUCCAUCCUUCCCUGGUAGGGACUAGCUCUCUGAGAGUUUCCAUGUUAUGAGCAAAUCUGCACUUUUGCAGUCUUUAUCAAUAGUCUCCGAUUUCUCUAUCCCUGAAAUGGCAUCCACAAAUGGGAGACAACUGAGACUAGGAGAGGCUGACAUACCAUUUAGGCCAAGCCUCUCACCGACAGGUGCAGAGAGGUGGUGUGAUUUGCCCAAGUUAGCAGCAGAAGUGGUUUGACCUCGAGUCGCCUGCGCCUCUGCCUCCAGGACUGCAUCUAGCACAGAAGGAGGCACGGCUAGUUCAGGAUUUUACAGCUAUUUACAGGUCCCUUUCCCAAUUCAACCAAGAACUUUCUCUUAACCACUCAAGGCUCUAACACAGUAAUGUGCUCUCUGCCUGGGCCCCAAGACAGCUUUCUCAGAACAGGAUCAAAACCCCUUCCCGCACAGCCACCUGAACGCAGGCUUGAUGGCCCCCUGGAUUCUACUCACAGAAUGUCCCUGCAUUACUGCAAUAAAAAGUGCAAAAAAAGAGAAAAAAAUCCUCUCUCCAGGCAUGCAUCUUCAGGGUCAACGCUUCCAGUGCUGUUCUGACUUCGAUAGCUUUUUCAAUUGGCCGCUCCAUGCAGCUUGCAGCACUCGUCACUCUGCUCCCUUCAUUCUGAAGCCAGAGCAUUCUAAAACCUCCCAGUUUCUCUCUGUUCCAGCAUUCCAGCAACCUCAGCCCAUGGGGGGACAGUGAACUCACUCUCAUCUUUCCAGGUCCUGUUGAUAUCUUAGAGAUGCAAUGGUGGAAAACACUAGCAUAUCUGGGACUCAGUUACGUUUUUAUUCUGUUGUCCUUGGCCAGAGGGAGUUUCUUUCACUAGGCCCUGUGAUACUGAGCCUGUCAUGAUGGCCGCAGGUGCUCUCAGGAACAAGUAGAUUUAGUAUCAGCCAGAGACGAGACUAUAAUGAAUGAAUCCAUCCAGCGGCUCCCCCAGUGCAGCAAAUCAUGAUCCGUGCACUCCAUGAGAGCACUGGAGUUCUUUCCCACUGUCCAUUUUUUCUAGAUUAUCCAUGCCAUUCUUCUCCUCGAGUCAUUGAGAGUUCAUGGUGGGUGUGGCUGAGUCAUUGCCCAAGUGACUCAGCCUCC
rnacentral:lncRNA from 1 species